GGCAUUUUGGUUUCGCUAGAUAGUAGAUAGGGACAGUGUAUGAAUCGGAUCCCUCCGAACUUGUUUUACGUGGCAUGUUCCACAUUGAAGGGAUUACAACCACGGCAUACUAUACACCC